AAGGGAGACCUAAUUCGGGUAUAAGACGAAAAAAGAGUAGUCGAAACCAAGAAUCAAUCCCAAAAGGUCGGAACGAGGUAUGUGGCUUUCAAACUAGGUUCUGGGUUCACACAAGACCUGAAUCAGGAACAAGGGCUAUUAGCUCAGGUGGUUAGAGCGCACCCCUGAUAAGGGUGAGGUCCCUGGUUCGAGUCCAGGAUGGCCCACCUGCACAGGUGGCAAAAACAAAGAAGCGAGGAAUCAGCCCCUUAUCUUAUCUAUAUAUAAGAGAGAAUGCUGGCUCUGAGUAAAGAGUCCAGAGGAACCUUGAAAACUGCAUAGAGCUAGGUGAAAAAGCCAAAAAAGAAGACCGCAA
rnacentral:tRNA from 1 species